AUUGAACGCUGGCGGCAGGCCUAACACAUGCAAGUCGAACGAGUGGCGGACGGGUGAGUAAUGUCUGGGAAACUGCCUGAUGGAGGGGGAUAACUACUGGAAACGGUAGCUAAUACCGCAUACCAUCGGAUGUGCCCAGAUGGGAUUAGCUAGUAGGUGGGGUAAAGGCUCACCUAGGCGACGAUCCCUAGCUGGUCUGAGAGGAUGACCAGCCACACUGGAACUGCGAUACGGUCCAGACCCCUACGGUAGGCAGCAGUGGGUAAUAUUGCGCAAUGGGCGCAAGCCUGAUGCAGCCAUGCCGCGUGUAUGAUGAAGGCCUUCGUGUUGUAAAGUACUUUCAGCGGGGAGGCGUUACCCGCAGAAGAAGCACCGGCUAACUCCGUGCCAGCAGCCGCGGGAAUAC
rnacentral:rRNA from 1 species